rnacentral:rRNA from 1 species
AGGACGAACGCUGGCGGCGCGCUUAAUACAUGCAAGUCGAGCGAGAACCAGGGCUUCGGCUCUGGGGACAGCGGCGAACGGGUGAGUAACACGUGGGUAAUCAACCCCCGACACCGGGAUAGCCCAGGGAAACUUGGAUUAAUACCGGAUGCUCCGUCUGGCCUUCGGGCCGGCCGGAAAAGGGUAGCUUCGGCCUCCGGUCGGGGACGAGCCCGCGGCGGAUUAGCUUGUUGGUGAGGUAAAGGCUCACCAAGGCGACGAUCCGUAGCUGGUCUGAGAGGACGAUCAGCCACACUGGGACUGAGACACGGCCCAGACUCCUACGGGAGGCAGCAGUAGGGAAUCUUGCGCAAUGGGCGAAAGCCUGACGCAGCGACGCCGCGUGAGGGAAGAAGGCCUUCGGGUUGUAAACCUCUUUCAGGAGGGACGAAGCCACUCGGGUUAAUAGCCAGAGGGUGACGGUACCUCCAGAAGAAGCCCGGCUAACUACGCGCCAGCAGCCGCGGU